AUGGAGGGUCUAACUCCAACAUCUUCUUUGAUUCAUGAAGCCACUAUGGUCACUACUCACGUUUUCAUGAUAGCAAGGUGCUCCCCUUUAUUUUGUGGCAACCACUGGAAUAUCACAGAAUGAUCUAAUGAGCGUCAUAACUUAUCCAACUUGCAGUCAAUUAGACUACAUGGUCUUUCCUUGCGGCAUGUCUUACUAUUCCAUUAG
rnacentral:rRNA from 1 species